UACGUAGGGCGCAAGCGUUAUCCGGAAUCAUUGGGUUUAAAGGGUCCGUAGGCGGUUUUGUAAGUCAGUGGUGAAAGCCCAUCGCUCAACGGUGGAACGGCCAUUGAUACUGCAAGACUUGAAUUAUUGGGAAGUAACUAGAAUAUGUAGUGUAGCGGUGAAAUGCUUAGAGAUUACAUGGAAUACCAAUUGCGAAGGCAGGUUACUACCAAUAUAUUGACGCUGAUGGACGAAAAGCGUGGGGAGCGAACGAG
rnacentral:rRNA from 1 species